UUCAAUGCACGGAGCCUCGAACCGUGAAGCUAGCAACCGCCGCCGCUGUUCCACUGCAUCGCGCCGCCGCCACCGUCCGAAGCUGCGCCAUCGCUCCGCCACCGCCAUCCGAAGCUGCGCCACCUCCGCCGCCGUCCAAAGCUGCGCCGCCGCCGCCCUCCGACGUUGCGGCUUUUGGGGCCGUCGUAUUGUUCAGCCUUGGUGAAGGCGAUGAGUCAUUGCUGCCGGCGCCGAGGAGGAAGAAGGAUUUGGAGAGUUGGCUGACGGCGCGUGGGCACACCUUGGCAUCCAUGUAGCCUACCCUGGAACGCCUCCAUCCGAUAGUCUCAUCAGUUUGUUGCGAUUUAGAUUCCGUUCGUUCCUCUUCUAUAUAUGUUUCUUCCUCUUCUCUUGAUGAUCCGGUUUAUUUUUGGUACGCCAUCCUAAUUCGCGUUCCAAUCACGUACCUACGACCGUCCGGCACCGUCCCUGUUCUGCGAUCUGGAACAAGAAUUCCUGGAACAGGGAAAGCGGCUACGCUGUGGCGCUGUGUGGAUUAACAUCCACUUGGGCGCGCUGCACGGCGGCGGCGCGCGGAGGCCAGACAGGCUGCGGCCAGCACCACGAGGCACCGGCAGACUAGUUCAGCACGCAAGGCAGCCGGCUGGCCGGACGGCAGAGGCGGCAACUAGCAAGCAAAGAGGUUCACUUCUUACAGUUGAUGAAAAUAUGAUAGAUUGGUAGGUGGGAACGACUGGGCACCUGUUAGGUAUUUCUUUAUAAUUUUUCAAGUUUUUAUUUAGUUUGUGGUACAAUUAGACUCAGAAUUGGAGAUAUAAUCUAAAAGCGCCUAGGUGAUUUUUUGCUAAAUAUCCUUAGUUUGUUUAUAAAAUGUGAUAGUUAAUUGGUUAGUAUACAGGACUGACUAUAUAUGCAAGAUCAAAAUUUACAAUAUCAAGAUUUUCAGGUUGCUCUCACAAGCUGCAGAUUGUCGAGAUAUAUUGUGUUCCAUUAUCUUUGUACUAAACUAAUCAUUAAAUUUGUCGCUUAUAUAUAUGAUUUCCACCGCAACUACUUAUUCCUUCAAAAUUAGAUCAAAAGAUUUUAUCCAUACCGCCUGCUACAUGACUAUACAAUUACCAUGUUUGAGAAAAGAUAUUGCAGCCUUUCCUUUCAAUGUAGUGUUUAUUUGAGGGGGGAUGUCAUAUAUGGUCAUUGGAGGAGUAGCCUUAGGGUGUACUGAGUAUCAAACACAUAAUGUAGUGGGUAUCACUGAAAACAGAUUUGUUUGAACAAUAGAGUCUCACUCUCACAUAAAGGGACACCUUUCAGGUGCCUCUGAGGAGAAGGUUCCCUCAAAUUUGGUCAUCCUUUCUUUCAAAUGACAUGGUAAAUAUGAUUACAACUAUUCUACUAUAUAUCGAGUGCCAUAUGGACAUUGAUGAACUCUGCUUAUAUAAACAAUGAAACAGCAUGUUUGGUGAGGUGUUAUAUUAAGUUUGAUAUUGUUUCAAAUUUCUUUUGUGCUAACUCAAAGAAUAAUUUUAUUCAUACUAGUAGCUGCUUUUGAUUGUGCCGGUGUCUUUCCCUUUGGACACUGCAGGCAAUUAUCCAUGGAUACCUUGUGGUAUUAAAAUAAUUUAUGAUUGUGCUGCCUAGCUGAUGUUUGCAAUUGAGGUUACUAGGCAUUACCAACAUCAUAGUAACAUGCAUUUACUUCUUGACUAAUUGAUGUUUGUAGGUUAUAUGCAUACGCUAGUACUUGAAGUCUAUAAUGAACUUACUAUCCUGCUAAAGGAGUAUCAAUUACUUGGCCUUCGAGUUGUGUGUGAUAUAACUGAUUUUUUUAAUAUAUAAUAUUACAACUAUGUUAAUUUCUCUAUGCAGUUUGAAAUUAUACAUAUUAAAGCUAUAUUUCUGAAUGCAGGUUCAAAUGAUCAAG